CAGCCGCCACGGGAAUACAGAGGGUGCGAGCGUUAAUCGGAUUUACUGGGCGUAAAGCGUGCGUAGGCGGCUUCUUAAGUAGGAUGUGAAAUCCCUGAGCUUAACUUAGGAAUUGCAUUCGAUACUGGGAAGCUAGAGUAUGGGAGAGGAUGGUAGAAUUCCAGGUGUAGCGGUGAAAUGCGUAGAGAUCUGGAGGAAUACCGAUGGCGAAGGCAGCCAUCUGGCCUAAUACUGACGCUGAGGUACGAAAGCAUGGGGAGCAAACAGGAUUAGAUACCCGAGUAGUCCCUGUCUCUUAUAC
rnacentral:rRNA from 1 species